rnacentral:rRNA from 1 species
ACGCUCGACACCUACGGGAGGCAGCAGUGGGGAAUAUUGGGCAAUGGGCGCAAGCCUGACCCAGCAACGCCGCGUGAAGGAAGAAGGCCCUCGGGUUGUAAACUUCUUUUGUCAGGGACGAAGCAAGUGACGGUACCUGACGAAUAAGCCACGGCUAACUACGUGCCAGAAGCCGCGGUAAUCUGAGCGGGCUGGCAAGGC